GAUGAAGAAACGUAGCGAAAUGCGAUAAGUAAUGUGAAUUGCAGAAUUCAGUGAAUCAUCGAAUCUUUGAACGCACAUUGCGCCCGCCAGUAUUCUGGCGGGCAUGCCUGUUCGAGCGUCAUUUCAACCCUCAAGACCCCUUCGGGGGACUUGGUGUUGGGGACCGGCACACGGGCCUGCCUGCUUGUCUUGCAGCGCCCUCGCCGCCCCCGAAAUGAAUUGGCGGCCUCGUCGCGGCCUCCCCUGCGUAGUAGCACAAACCUCGCAACGGGAACGUGACGGCGGCCACUGCCGUAAAACAACCCAAUUUUAUUAGAGUUGACCUCGAAUCAGGUAGGAAUACCCGCUGAACUUAAGCAUAUCAAUAAGCGGAGGA
rnacentral:misc_RNA from 1 species